rnacentral:lncRNA from 1 species
CUCACAUGGACACACAGAGACAUGAAAGUAAACAAUGAAAAGUCCCUUAUCACCCCAUCGCCUCUACCUAUUUCCUACUCUCUUCACAUGUAAACAUUGUUAUCUGUUUCUUUUCUAUUCUUCUAAGGUUUUUAUGCAUAAAAAGAAAAUAAAGACGUUCUUAUUUUCCCCAUGCUUUACACUUAAGAUAGGACACGUUAUAGGAUACAUUAUGUUGUACCUUUUUUCCCAUUUAGUCUAUAUCAAAGAUCCUUGACCUUGCAUUUAUAUGAAAGUUUGACUAGAUACAAACAUUUUUUUUUUUUUAAGAUUUUUUUUAUUCUUUUUCCUUUUUCUCCCCAAAGCCCCCCGGUACAUAGUUGUAUAUUCUUCGUUGUGGGUCCUUCUAGUUGUGGCAUGUGGGACGCUGCCUCAGCGUGGUUUGAUGAGCAGUGCCAUGUCCGCACCCAGGAUUCAAACCAACGAAACACUGGGCUGCCUGCAGCGGAGCGCGCGAACUUAACCACUCGGCCACGGGGCCAGCCCCUAGAUACAAACAUUUUUGAGUUGUUUUUGAAAACUAGGAAUAUAGGGGAGUAGAGGUGGAGAAAAUACUCAGAGCCCAGCUAACUUGCCUGCACUUCUCAACUGUUCUCCAGACCCUGCCGUUGCACAUCAACAACAUGCUGCCAUCACCACCACAGUGAGAUAAAAAGGCGUACCUAAAACCGCAUCGCUGUGCUAGCUCUAGAAAAUGGUUUUGUCAUGGUUAAUUUUAUGUGUCAACUUGACUGGGCCACAGUGUGCCCAUUAUUCUGGGUGUUUUCGUGAGCGUGUUUCUGGAUGAUAUAAACACUUGAAUCAGUAGACUGAGUAAAGCACAUUGCCCUUCUCAACGUGGGUGGUACUCACCUAAUCCAUUGAUGUCCUGAAUAGAACAAAAAGGCUGAGUAAAGGAGAAUUCACUCUCUCUGCUUGACUGUCCUUGAGUUGGAACAUUGGUCUUCUGCUGCCUUUGGACUCAGACUCAGACCGGAACUUACCCCAGCAGCUCUCCUGCUUCUUGGCUCUUCAGACUCUCGCUGGAACUCUACCACUGGCUCUCCUGGGUCUCCAGCUAGCCUACUUCAGAUCUUGGGACUUCUUAGGCUCCAUAAUCAUAACUAUAAGUGGGAAAAGUUUCCUAUCUGCUUCCGUUGAUUAAAAUAACACCUAUAUGCUGUUUACUUCUACUUAUUCUUUACAAUUCAGCUCAAAGACACCUCUGCAAAGCCUCUGAUUUCAAUCUUGCGGUUUUUACAAAUUGAAGGUUGGUGGCAACCCUGCACUGAGCAAGUCUGUCAGCGCCGUUUUUCGAAAAACAUUUGCGCACUUUGUGUCUCUGCACCACAUUUUGGUAAUUCUCACAAUAUUUCAAACUUUUUCAUUAUUAUUAUAUUUGUUAUGGUGGUCUGUGAUCACUGAUCUUCGAUAUUAGAACAAUGUUAGAACUCAGAUCAGCCUCCUCGAAGGGAAAAAGGCAGGGGUUUAUG